GGGUUGUGAGGUUAAGCGACUAAGCGUACACGGUGGAUGCCCUGGCAGUCAGAGGCGAUGAAGGACGUGCUAAUCUGCGAUAAGCGUCGGUAAGGUGAUAUGAACCGUUAUAACCGGCGAUUUCCGAAUGGGGAAACCCAGUGUGAUUCGUCACACUAUCAUUAACUGAAUCCAUAGGUUAAUGAGGCGAACCGGGGGAACUGAAACAUCUAAGUACCCCGAGGAAAAGAAAUCAACCGAGAUUCCCCCAGUAGCGGCGAGCGAACGGGGAGCAGCCCAGAGCCUGAAUCAGUGUGUGUGUUAGUGGAAGCGUCUGGAAAGGCGUGCGAUACAGGGUGACAGCCCCGUACACAAAAAUGCACAUGCUGUGAGCUCGAUGAGUAGGGCGGGACACGUGGUAUCCUGUCUGAAUAUGGGGGGACCAUCCUCCAAGGCUAAAUACUCCUGACUGACCGAUAGUGAACCAGUACCGUGAGGGAAAGGCGAAAAGAACCCCGGCGAGGGGAGUGAAAAAGAACCUGAAACCGUGUACGUACAAGCAGUGGGAGCACAGAGCAAUCUGUGUGACUGCGUACCUUUUGUAUAAUGGGUCAGCGACUUAUAUUCUGUAGCAAGGUUAACCGAAUAGGGGAGCCGAAGGGAAACCGAGUCUUAACUGGGCGUUAAGUUGCAGGGUAUAGACCCGAAACCCGGUGAUCUAGCCAUGGGCAGGUUGAAGGUUGGGUAACACUAACUGGAGGACCGAACCGACUAAUGUUGAAAAAUUAGCGGAUGACUUGUGGCUGGGGGUGAAAGGCCAAUCAAACCGGGAGAUAGCUGGUUCUCCCCGAAAGCUAUUUAGGUAGCGCCUCGUGAAUUCAUCUCCGGGGGUAGAGCACUGUUUCGGCAAGGGGGUCAUCCCGACUUACCAACCCGAUGCAAACUGCGAAUACCGGAGAAUGUUAUCACGGGAGACACACGGCGGGUGCUAACGUCCGUCGUGAAGAGGGAAACAACCCAGACCGCCAGCUAAGGUCCCAAAGUCAUGGUUAAGUGGGAAACGAUGUGGGAAGGCCCAGACAGCCAGGAUGUUGGCUUAGAAGCAGCCAUCAUUUAAAGAAAGCGUAAUAGCUCACUGGUCGAGUCGGCCUGCGCGGAAGAUGUAACGGGGCUAAACCAUGCACCGAAGCUGCGGCAGCGACGCUUAUGCGUUGUUGGGUAGGGGAGCGUUCUGUAAGCCUGCGAAGGUGUGCUGUGAGGCAUGCUGGAGGUAUCAGAAGUGCGAAUGCUGACAUAAGUAACGAUAAAGCGGGUGAAAAGCCCGCUCGCCGGAAGACCAAGGGUUCCUGUCCAACGUUAAUCGGGGCAGGGUGAGUCGACCCCUAAGGCGAGGCCGAAAGGCGUAGUCGAUGGGAAACAGGUUAAUAUUCCUGUACUUGGUGUUACUGCGAAGGGGGGACGGAGAAGGCUAUGUUGGCCGGGCGACGGUUGUCCCGGUUUAAGCGUGUAGGCUGGUUUUCCAGGCAAAUCCGGAAAACUAAGGCUGAGGCGUGAUGACGAGGCACUACGGUGCUGAAGCAACAAAUGCCCUGCUUCCAGGAAAAGCCUCUAAGCAUCAGGUAACAUCAAAUCGUACCCCAAACCGACACAGGUGGUCAGGUAGAGAAUACCAAGGCGCUUGAGAGAACUCGGGUGAAGGAACUAGGCAAAAUGGUGCCGUAACUUCGGGAGAAGGCACGCUGAUAUGUAGGUGAAGCGACUUGCUCGUGGAGCUGAAAUCAGUCGAAGAUACCAGCUGGCUGCAACUGUUUAUUAAAAACACAGCACUGUGCAAACACGAAAGUGGACGUAUACGGUGUGACGCCUGCCCGGUGCCGGAAGGUUAAUUGAUGGGGUCAGCGCAAGCGAAGCUCUUGAUCGAAGCCCCGGUAAACGGCGGCCGUAACUAUAACGGUCCUAAGGUAGCGAAAUUCCUUGUCGGGUAAGUUCCGACCUGCACGAAUGGCGUAAUGAUGGCCAGGCUGUCUCCACCCGAGACUCAGUGAAAUUGAACUCGCUGUGAAGAUGCAGUGUACCCGCGGCAAGACGGAAAGACCCCGUGAACCUUUACUAUAGCUUGACACUGAACAUUGAGCCUUGAUGUGUAGGAUAGGUGGGAGGCUUUGAAGUGUGGACGCCAGUCUGCAUGGAGCCGACCUUGAAAUACCACCCUUUAAUGUUUGAUGUUCUAACGUUGACCCGUGAUCCGGGUUGCGGACAGUGUCUGGUGGGUAGUUUGACUGGGGCGGUCUCCUCCUAAAGAGUAACGGAGGAGCACGAAGGUUGGCUAAUCCUGGUCGGACAUCAGGAGGUUAGUGCAAUGGCAUAAGCCAGCUUGACUGCGAGCGUGACGGCGCGAGCAGGUGCGAAAGCAGGUCAUAGUGAUCCGGUGGUUCUGAAUGGAAGGGCCAUCGCUCAACGGAUAAAAGGUACUCCGGGGAUAACAGGCUGAUACCGCCCAAGAGUUCAUAUCGACGGCGGUGUUUGGCACCUCGAUGUCGGCUCAUCACAUCCUGGGGCUGAAGUAGGUCCCAAGGGUAUGGCUGUUCGCCAUUUAAAGUGGUACGCGAGCUGGGUUUAGAACGUCGUGAGACAGUUCGGUCCCUAUCUGCCGUGGGCGCUGGAGAACUGAGGGGGGCUGCUCCUAGUACGAGAGGACCGGAGUGGACGCAUCACUGGUGUUCGGGUUGUCAUGCCAAUGGCACUGCCCGGUAGCUAAAUGCGGAAGAGAUAAGUGCUGAAAGCAUCUAAGCACGAAACUUGCCCCGAGAUGAGUUCUCCCUGACUCCUUGAGAGUCCUGAAGGAACGUUGAAGACGACGACGUUGAUAGGCCGGGUGUGUAAGCGCAGCGAUGCGUUGAGCUAACCGGUACUAAUGAACCGUGAGGCUUAACCUUACAACGCCGAAGGUGUUU
rnacentral:rRNA from 2 species